CUUGCCCUGGGCGAAGCCUGAGCAGCCUGCCGCGUGAAUGAUGAAGGUCUUAGGAUUGUAAAAUUCUUUCCCGGGGACGAUAAUGACGGUUCCCGGAAAAGAAGCCCCGGCUAACUUCUUGCCACAACCGCGGUAUUACUAAGGGGGCUAGCGUUGCUCGGAAUUACUGGGCGUAAAGGGCGCGUAAGCGGAUCGUUAAGUCAGAGGUGAAAUCCCAUGGCUCAACCCUGGAACUGCCUUUGAUACUGGCGAUCUUGACUAUGAUAGAGGUAUGUGGAACUCCGAGUGUAGAGGUGAAAUUCAUAUAUAUUCGGAAGAACACCGGGGGCGAAGGCGACAUACUGGCUCAUUACUGACGCUGAGGCGCGAAAG
rnacentral:rRNA from 1 species